GCCAGUACAUCCUGGAGUGAUGAAGUCGAGGACAUCUCCAGAUCAACAGUUUGCUCAGUUGUAAAUGACAAGUUUCAUCUAGAGAUACUGAGGCUUCUGCAUGCCAUCAAGAUGAAACAAGAACAACAUACGACCCAACUUGACACUCUGGUGUCAUUAGCUACAAACUAGGGAGUGGCCGUGCCCGAGACAGAUGAUGUGACUGAAGGCCCCUACAGCAGUUUGGAUGACUUCCUGAAGUUCGAUUCAUCCCUGACCUCCAGCACAACAAGAGGAAAAAUAAAGCGUUUCUGGUCAAGUUUUGGAGGAGCAACAGUCCACGACACAGCCACAAGGAUCCUGAGGCUGCUCUGCACAGAUAAUGUGGCCGCUAACUUUAGCUGGCAGGGUGCGAAAGGGAAGCUCAAGUUCUGCGAACUAGAGUCUUGGGCAGUGCUGCGAGAUGCUGUCAGGUCUAACAAGCGGCUGAAGGAAACAACAGACUUUGACAUCGAAAAGGUUGUCAAGUCUUGGCUUCGUCAUGCUAAAGAACGGGACCACAAGAGAACAAGGGAGGAGCCUUCAUAGUCUUGUCAACAAAACAACUAACAAGUAACCUUUCCACCCAUUAAGCUAAGACAAGUCUUGCAAGAUGAAUAGAAGGCUCAGCAGACAUCUACUACAUUGGCUUACAAGCUAGCUUUUUAUGUACCGCCUUUUGCGAACAAAUGUGUAUGGAUAGCAUUGAUAGGAGAACUGCAAAUAUGGUCGUCAAGCCCUAUCAGGAAAGCAAGCGCACAGUAUCAAAUUUGUAAAAGCGAUAAAAAUACACACGACGUACACAACGAAUUAAAAUUUUAACAACAGUCAUUGACGUUUCGGAGCCUAUGCAGACCCCCCCCCCCUCGGAAUGAAGCAGGAGGCGGUUACCCGGUACUAUUUAUGUAGCAAGGGGGCGUAGCAGUCGGGUAGUGGUCCUGGGUGCUUGUUCAAAGCAUUAUUUGUUCUUUUGAUGAACCAGGAUUCAAGUUGUUUGCGCACUCCCCAACGACUUUCACAUGCCAAAAUAACAGGGUUAUCUAAAUGCACGUGGUGGCCUGUCUUGUGGGCAUGUUCACACAGUUCUGUGU